rnacentral:rRNA from 1 species
GAGAAUCUACCCUUUAGUGAAGAAUACCUUCGAGAAAUCGAAAUUAAUACUGCAUAAGUCCCUUCGGGGAGAAAAGUGGCCUCUUUGCUACUGCUAAAGGAUGAGCUUGCGGACUAUCAGCUAGUUGGUGAGGUAAAGGCUCACCAAGGCUAUGACGGUUAGCCGGCCUGAGAGGGUGAACGGCCAGACUGGAACUUAGACACGGUCCAGACUCCUACGGGAGGCAGCAGUGAGGAAUAUUGCGCAAUGGGCGAAAGCCUGACGCAGCGACGCCGCGUGGAGGAUGAAGGUUUUCGGAUCGUAAACUCCUGUUAAGUGGGAAGAAAAGUCUGUGGUUAAUACCCUCAGAAAAUGACGGUACCAUUAUAGAAAGCACCGGCUAACUACGUGCCAGCAGCCGCGGUAAUACGUAGGGUGCGAGCGUUAUUCGGAAUUACUGGGCGUACAGGGUGCGUAGACGGUUUAUUAAGUCAGUUGUUAAAGACCCCGGCCUAACUGGGGAAAGGCGAUUGAAACUGAUAGGCUAGAGGUUGGGAGAGAGGAGUGGAAUUCUCGGA